UACGGAGGGUGCAAGCGUUAUCCGGAUUCACUGGGUUUAAAGGGUGCGUAGGUGGGUUGGUAAGUCAGUGGUGAAAUCUCCGUGCUUAACAUGGAAACUGCCAUUGAUACUACUGAUCUUGAAUUUUCAGGAGGUAAGCGGAAUAUGUCAUGUAGCGGUGAAAUGCUUAGAUAUGACAUAGAACACCAAUUGCGAAGGCAGCUUACUACAGGAAUAUUGACACUGAUGCACGAAAGCGUGGGAUCAAACAGGAUUAGAACCCU
rnacentral:rRNA from 1 species